CGAUGAUUCUCUCACUCCUGUUCUGCUUUGGGUGCCAUACAUGAGGCACUUUAGUUGACUCCUGGAAAAUACAUGGUCGACUUCCCAGAGGUUUAAGUGAACUGUAACUGGAUUACCAUUAACGCCCUCUUCCAAUACUUGAUUGGACUGCUAAGCAGUUGAGGCUUGGAUUUUUAAAAAAGCCUAUGACAAUUAGGUGCCAAAAAUGGCAUAGAGAUUCAAUAGGAUUUGAGCAUUUAAUUUCCUGAAGUUUUCUUGUAAUUUCCAGAAUGGGAAGCAGCAGAGUUUAGCCACUCGCUCAUCAGAGGAUAUUAAAUUAUUUGGCUGUUACAUUAUUCCUGACUGACACAGGAAUUUUUCUCCUGCUCUGUGUGCCCAGCUCCUAUUAAACUGGCUUCGUGUUCUCAGCUAGUCCCUCAGUGCUACCAUAAUAAAUGUAAUAAAUGUAAUAAAUUAUAAUAUUUGAAGACAGAGGGUCACAUUUACCAUUACGUAACUCCAUUGAUUUUAGAAAAGUUAUACCAGGCAUGAAUCUGGCUCUAUUAUUUUGGUAUCAAAAGGAUCCAAACGAUCACUUUUUGGGGUAUAAUAAACAGAAGAGAUAUAAUUCUCUUUUCACUCUCACUGGUGUAAAACAGGAACGGCUUUCAACAGAAUUUGGUAACAGAUUCAAAGCAGGCCCAAUACAUUUCCACCAGUACUUUAUUUGGAGAGAGAGAAGCCAGGAAAAAAAAAAUCCCCAUGCCUUGAAGUGUUAAAUUGUUAAAUAGCAUCUCAGCAAAGCAAAGUAUUCUCUCUUUUGGAGGCAGGGGGAGAAGCAGGGAAGGAAACAGGCUUGCAUUUUCAUUUCAAAAUGCUAUUUAUCUCCCUCUGCAGCUCCUGGACCUUGGCGCAACCUCCCAUCUCUCUGUCCCCUCAGGAAUUUUGCAGAUAAAUUAGUGAAUCCUACAGGAAGGUGAUAGCUAUCAGCACUAUUGCAAAAUUUCAUUUAGUGGGGAGCGAGGAAUCCAAUCAGUUAUGUACAUCAGACCGGGAACUCCCGACCGGACCAAACCCACCGUCUCUUCUGUCCUUGGCCGUGCAGAAUGGCUAGGGUAGAAAACUGUGGGUUAAUCUGCUCAUAAGGGAUCAAGAGUACCAUCCCACCUCCUCCCUCCUCCGGAAGAGCACAGACCCUAUCACUUGAGCUAUGAUCAGUAUGGAGUCUACUCUACGUAGCUGAGCAGUUUUGAUCUUGUCCAGCAGAAGGCAAUAGCACACUUGGACACAGCUUCAUUCAAGGGGACAAUGUUAUCUUUUCUGAUGCCACAAUGAUUUUCACCAUCUUGUGAUACAAAGGGAAGAAAACCUUGAAGAGAAUAUGGCUUUGCUCAUUGACAGGGGUCUUCCUUGACACCAGUACGAAAACCACAGCAGCAAAAGUUAAACUUUGGCUCUGUGUGUGUGUGUGUGUGUGUGUGUGUGUGUGUGUGUGUGUUUGGCAGCAGGUACAUGCAUAUAAUCAAGGAUGGGAAAACAAGUGAGCAUCUAUUUAUGAGACCAGAUAGCUUCACAGGGCCUAAACCUCCACUCAGUUGUAUCCACUAACCUUCCUCCAGAAAACAAUAAAUAUGCAUAUUAGUCAUGUU